AUUGAACGCUGGCGGCAGGCCUAACACAUGCAAGUCGAACGGUAACAGGAAGCAGCUUGCUGCUUUGCUGACGAGUGGCGGACGGGUGAGUAAUGUCUGGGAAACUGCCUGAUGGAGGGGGGUAACUACUGGAAACGGUAGCUAAUACCGCAUAACGUCGCAAGACCAAAGAGGGGGACCUUCGGGCCUCUUGCCAUCAGAUGUGCCCAGAUGGGAUUAGCUUGUUGGUGGGGUAACGGCUCACCAAGGCGACGAUCCCUAGCUGGUCUGAGAGGAUGACCAGCCACACUGGAACUGAGACACGGUCCAGACUCCUACGGGAGGCAGCAGUGGGGAAUAUUGCACAAUGGGCGCAAGCCUGAUGCAGCCAUGCCGCGUGUAAUGAAGAAGGCCUUCGGGUUGUAAAGUACUUUCAGCGGGGAGGAAGGUGUUGUGGUUAAUAACCACAGCAAUUGACGUUACCCGCAGAAGAAGCACCGGCUAACUCCGUGCCAGCCGCAGC
rnacentral:rRNA from 1 species